UACGUAGGGUCCGAGCGUUGUCCGGAAUUACUGGGCGUAAAGAGCUCGUAGGUGGUUUGUCGCGUUGUUCGUGAAAACUCACAGCUCAACUGUGGGCGUGCGGGCGAUACGGGCAGACUAGAGUACUGCAGGGGAGACUGGAAUUCCUGGUGUAGCGGUGGAAUGCGCAGAUAUCAGGAGGAACACCGAUGGCGAAGGCAGGUCUCUGGGCCGAUACUGACGCUGAGGAGCGAAAGCGUGGGAGCGAACAGG
rnacentral:rRNA from 1 species